GUCCCCGGCGUCCGGGCGCCCUGCAUGGAUCCCCCACCCCAGCUCCUGCUCCCCGGCGGCGGCCGGUGGGCAGAAAGACCGAAACCCACUCACGGCCGCCUGCCGAAUCGCGGCUCUGCUGUUUGUGGGGCGUGCUAGAAACGUGGUCCUAAAAAGAAUGGCGUCCAUUUACAUAAUGCUUUGUUUGCGUUUCGCAAGUUUCUUUCGGUUAAAGCCACAGAAACCCCACCUCCUGCCCUUGUGUCGUUUCCACCGCGGCACCCUUUUCCGACAUUAGAAACAAUAGUGUACGCCUGUGGAGGCCUCGUUUGUUCAGGGGCUGCCGGCCAGGGCUUCAGGACGUUUCUGCGGCUUUCCCCGCGCGGCCUGGGCUCCCGCGGCUGCUUUUCGGGCCCAUGGGCGCAGCCACUGCGCCAGGCUCAAGGGGGGCGGCCCCGUCAGGGCCCGCCAUCUUGGAAGGCCUUUUUUGCCGGUUCUUCCCGCUGAGGAAGUGUCGCUCAAGACGCUGGCCUAUGAGUUGUGAUUUCUGCCUUUUCCCCUUCCUCCUUGGGCUAAGCCAGACCAGAAAGGGCCCCGUGCGCAACGUGCUUCACAAUCUCUCAGGGAAAGCGGCUAACGUGGCGCUACUCCGCCUCCCCUGUUCCUUACCCUUGGGGCGGCCGCCAUGUUUCCUGAACACAAAAUGGCGACACGUGGUUAGCAUUCGUCGCCAACGAGAAAUUGGGGUCGGCCCGAAAGCUCUAGAAUGCACCCCUCUUCCUCCCCGGGGCCUUCCACCUCCGCGAGUUUUAUGACUUAAAAAAGCCCACAGGCUGGUCUGAAGGUCGGAGGCCUAAUUUUAACGCGUUUUCCUCCCUUUAAUUUGAAACGGGAACGCGAAUGACUGUAAAAUGUGGGCACAAUAUUUAAUCUCUCGCCUUUUUAAAGCUUAAUAGUGGAUAAUAGGGGGGCAGUAUCAAGGGAUAAUUUGGGUCCCCACAGUACCAAAGCAUUUAGAAACCUCUGUUUAAUUUAAGGAAUGAGAUAAGUUACUGCUUUUCUAGACUUCCUAGCAUGGGCUGUUGUGCUGGAGAGAACGAGAGCUACGAAGAGACUACAGUGCCUCUGACUUUUUCAUAGGACAGUUGGCCGAGGAAGACAAACAUAAAGAUGAAGUGCUUAAUUCAAGGUCACACAAUGUCGGGGAUGGACCUCCAGAUUUCCUUACUGGAAAACAAGCUCAGGGCUCCCACUGAUUGUACAUUAUGAGACGGAGUCUUGCUAUGUUGCCCAGGCUGGUCUUGAACUCCUCACCUCAAGCGAUCCUCCCGUCUUGGCCUCCCAAGUGUCAGGAUUACGGGCAUGUGCUAUCACACCCAACCUGAUACAUUGCCUUUAUAAAUUUUUUUUUCUUUAUUCUAAAAACCAGAAAAAACAAAACUGGAUACAUGUGCAGAACAUGCAGGUUUGUUACAUAGCUGUACGUGUGCCAUGGUGGUUUGCUGCACCUAUUGACCUAUCCUACCAAGUGUGUUGGGGACUUGAGAUGCGUACAUGAGUGUGAUGUUUCCUGCUGAAAGCACAGGUGAGACGUGGUCUUGUAACACAGUGGUUAAGAAUGUGACUUUGGAGCCAGCCUGCUAGGGGCUGAAUUCUGACUCAGCCAUUUACUAACUGUGUGACCUUAGUCUGUCUAGUGACUGGUGUUGUCAUAAGAAGAGAGGGACACAGAGGGAAGAUGGCCACAUGAAGAUGGAGGCAGAGAUUGCAGUUAUGCUGCUGCAAACUAAGGAAUGGCUCUGGCCCUCCAAGGAUUGCUGAUAACCACCAGAAACUAGAAGAGACAAGGAAGGAUUCUUCCCUAGAGCCUUCAGAGGGAGCAUGGCCCUACUGACACCUGGAUUUCAAACUUGUAGCUUCCUAAACUGCAAGAGAAUAAAUUUCUGUUGUUUUAAGCCA
rnacentral:lncRNA from 1 species